rnacentral:rRNA from 1 species
CCUACGGGUGGCAGCAGUGAGGAAUUUUGCGCAAUGGGGGAAACCCUGACGCAGCAACGCCGCGUGAGUGAUGAAGGUCUUCGGGUCGUAAAACUCUGUCAAGUGGGAAGAACCUAUUCCGCGUUAAUACCGUGGAAUACUGACGGUACCACUGAAGGAAGCACCGGCUAACUCCGUGCCAGCAGCCGCGGUAAUACGGGGGGUGCAAGCGUUAUUCGGAAUUAUUGGGCGUAAAGGGCGCGCAGGCUGUUUUAUAAGUCGGAUGUGAAAGUCCGGGGCUUAACCCCGGAAGUGCAUUUGAAACUAUAAGACUUGAGUAUGGGAGAGGGAAGUGGAAUUCCUGGUGUAGAGGUGAAAUUCGUAGAUAUCAGGAGGAACACCGGUGGCGAAGGCGGCUUCCUGGACCAAUACUGACGCUGAGGCGCGAAGGCGUGGGGAGCAAACAGGAUUAGAUACCCCAGUAGUC